AACGGUAAAGGGCUUUUUGACGUACGAAGAAAGAAUCGUUUAGUUAACGCUUUUUUGUUCUGUUCCGUUCGAUGGCGGUGUAGGAUGUUGAAAAAUGAUUGUAAAUUUUUAAGUCAAAGUGAAUGGCAACAUCGAUCACAGAGAGUGUCUAGAAAAAUGGCGGCCAAGUGGUGUUCCAAAAUCCUGGGCUAAGUAGGCUUUUGCCUACGUAUGUUAAAAUAAAAAAAGAUAAAAUAUGAUGGAACCCUGGAAGAAAGUUUUGCCCACAAUAACAUCCGGAAUCACCUAUUUUAAUUCUACAUCUAAAGAGUCUCGAGUAACAUUGAACCUUUUUUUUUUCUUGUUAAAUACACGUCUAUUAUUUUUGCAACUUGUUAUUCUAUUGUAAAUAGAAUUCUAAUGCCCGUCACCAUAAUCCCUUGACCCUUUAUUGAUGAUGUUGCUCUCUGAAGACGUUUUCACAAAUGCAAUUUGUUAAAACGCUCGCGAAAGACUUGCGUGGAUUUAAUCAGGUUGCAAGAUUCAAUUUUCAACAUUGAUACGAGUCGAUUGUCUGUGUAUUCUAGAAAUAACCUUGUUCAAUGUAUCGCCGAAAGACAAUCUGAACACUGAAUGACGGGAAAGCUUUGCAUUGGACGAGAGCAAUACAUUCAUUAUGUUCCCCAA